AUUGAACGCUGGCGGCAUGCUUUACACAUGCAAGUCGAACGGUAACAGGCCUUCGGGUGCUGACGAGUGGCGAACGGGUGAGUAAUGCAUCGGAACGUACCCAGAGGUGGGGGAUAACGCAGCGAAAGCUGUGCUAAUACCGCAUGUGAUCUGAGGAUGAAAGCGGGGGACCGAGCAGCAAUGUUUGGCCUCGCGCCUUUGGAGCGGCCGAUGUCGGAUUAGCUAGUUGGUGGGGUAAAGGCCUACCAAGGCGACGAUCCGUAGCUGGUCUGAGAGGACGACCAGCCACACUGGGACUGAGACACGGCCCAGACUCCUACGGGAGGCAGCAGUGGGGAAUUUUGGACAAUGGGCGCAAGCCUGAUCCAGCAAUGCCGCGUGCGGGAAGAAGGCCUUCGGGUUGUGAACCGCUUUUGGCAGGAACGAAACGGUGUCCGCUAAUACCGGGCGCUAAUGACGGUACCUGCAGAAUAAGCACCGGCUAACUACGUG
rnacentral:rRNA from 1 species